rnacentral:lncRNA from 13 species
GUUGCUACCGCGGCUUUCGCACUGUCUGGAGUGGAGAUCAUAUUCAUAAUGUGUUUGCUAGCUUGCUAUCUGCUUUUUAAUCGGGAAAGGCUUGAUCUUAAAAUUCCAGGAAAUGGAUGGUGACGAUGACCUGGACCUUCUAACAGAGCUGCUGGCUGAGAACGAGGCUGGAGAGGAGCAGCAGGCUAGCCAGGAAGCAGAGGAUAACCUAGAUGACCUGUUUGACAACGAUGAUGAUGAUGAUGAAGAGUACAGGGAGGGACUGGAGAGGGAGGAAGAGGAUGGAGCCGUUGCUCUCUUUGGAGAUGUGGAUGGCAUUGAAGAGGAGGAAGAAGUCGAAACACAGCCGUCUGGAGGGAAAGCUCCUGAUAACCUCAAUAAAUCCCAAGAAGAUUUACAAGAGGAGCUGAGGCGUAUGCAGGAGCAGAUGCAGAGGCUGCAGCAGCAGCUAGAGGCCUCCCAGAAGAGCUCUACAGCCACCUCUACCCCAAACAGCAUCCCAGGAACAAAGGCACCUUCCAAAGCUAACACUCCCUCACAGGGUCCCCCCAAACAGAGCUCCUCCAAGCCAGUUCGUCCCACACAGAAGACCAAGCCCCAAGCAGAGGGGAAGCCCUCGUCUGCCCCAGACCGAGGAGACAGCACCAAGCUACAGGAGUCCUCCGACUUCACCGCUCAGCUCAACAACGCUGACCUGUUCAAACGCAAAGGUCAAAGGACAGCUCACCAGGUCCAGCCCAGCACUACAGCAGCCGCUACAGACACCAGAGGUCCACUGGUGGAGAUUAAGACUCACAGCUCCUUCCAGCCAAUAGCAAGCAGUAGUAGGACCAACAGUACGGUACGUUCAUCGCUACCUUCCCAGUCCAAUGCGGCUGCAGCCCUGUCCGCCGUACGACAGGCCAAUCCCCUUCCAUCUCUCCCUAAAGACGUCGCCAUCGAGAAGUACUCUGGACUGCGGCUGAGGUCAGAGCACACACACACACACUCAUCUACCUGUAACACACACACACACACUCAUCUACCUGUAAUACACACUCAUCUACCUGUAACACACACACACACUUAUCUACCUGUAACACACACACACACUCA